GAUAAAAGCAGUUUCUCUCCCUGUCCUGAAGCCGGGAUUCUGCCUGAGCUAUUUUCGGCCUUGUUUUCAGUUGCCAAUGGCCAGUAGCAGGAUUUCACACUCAGCUGCCACUUCUCAUUCUGCCCACGGCUCCCUUUUUCAGGCAGGCUUCUCCUUCCAGGCAGACAUAUACACACCAGAGGCAGACUGCAGAUGGGUGAGGCGCGGCCCCUGGCCUUUCUGGGCUGGAAGGAUGCUCUCGGAGGUCUGGCGUACAUGCGUUUUGACUAGGCGGGACUUGCACCCCACCUUCCAGACAGACGGUGCUUUCUCACCCAGAACUAGCCCCACUCAUUUCCUGCCUCUCCGCUGCUGGCCCUUGCUGGCGUCUGACCUCAGUGACCUUCACAGAGUUAACCAGGGUGAGAGUGGCACUCCUGAAAAAUGCCUGGACCUUCACGACUAGCCACUCUCUCACCAGGCGUUUCCUGCAAGAUUUCCAGAUGCCAAGCACUGGGCAAGACACUGAAAGCAGCUUCAGAAUCAUCAUGAGGAUGUGAGAACCAGUACUUCUCCACCUCCCUGUGGGUGAUGGCAGUUCUAAGGCAAAAUGGUGAUGUCAAGAUUUCAAGACUUACUUCGCUUCAUGGUGAAAUACUGGCCUUGACACUGUUAUUAGAGUUUAAAAUCUUCAGAAUUCAUAAAACUUUAAAAAUUAGUGAAACAAUAUGUGCACUACUUUUCACAAGCAUGCAUUUAUAAGCCUCUUUCAAAACAUUAAGGAAUUGUGUAAAUUAUUCAAGAAUAAACAUUAAUAUAUAGUGUUAAGCUAUUAUAGACUAGAAGAAAAAUUAACAAAACAUGGAAAAUGAGCACUCAUAAAGUAAGAAUUUAAUUACAUUUGAAAAAAAUGUACAUGAAAUACCAUAGUAUUGGUAUUUGAUUUUUUUAAAAGAGUGCAAUUUUUAAAAACGAAGUGCUUCAGUGGUGUCAUUGCUGAAGUGCCAAUGUGUGUGUGUGGUCUGUGUGUAUGUAUGUUGUGGGGAUGUAUGUAGUUUAUGGUGAGUGUGUGUGUGUGUGUAUACACAUGGCAUGCAUACAUGUGUAUAGCGUGUAGGGGGUCUGUGUGCAUGUGCAGAGAAUAAGUGGACAACUAUGAGGGCUGUAUGUUCAUGGGUGAGGUGUGUGGUGUGUGUAUGUAAUGUGUGUGGUGUGUGGGCAUCUGGGGUGGGAGCUGGCAGAGACUGGCCAAGUUCUCUAACUCUACAGUUUGAAUGUAGAUCUUUCUCCACCAAAUCUCAGCCAUCUGUGAUCAGAAGGCCAUGCU